GCAUCUGCUGGUUCUUCCGGGGAUUGUGUCGCUCCGUUUCAAGCUACAGUUGCCACACUCAGAGCCCUGCAGCCUGACUUAUUUUAAUUUUAUGUAUAUGGAUAUUUUGCCUACAUGUACGUCUAUGCAGCAGCUGUGUGCCUGGUGCCCACGGAGGCCAGAAAGAGGGCACUGGCUCCCCUGUGACUGAGGUUAUGGACUCCUAACUGUAAGCUACCCAGUAUGGGUUCUGUGAACGCAUGUCCUCUGGAAGAGCAGCCAGCGCUCUUAACUGCUGAGCCACCUCUCCAGCCCUGAGUUUCCACGUUUAUAUGUUACCACAUUUUGACUUCUUAAGAAAAAUCUGCAGUCUAAUUUUUUUCAAAUUAUCAUGCGUAAUGAUGUAUGUGUGUAUUUCAGGGACUUUUCAAAAAGUUAUUAAAAAUACAUUUCUUUCUUUC